GGGAACGGGCGGGCAGGGACCCGUGCGGCUCCGGUUUCGGCAGAAGAUGCGGCCAGGAGAGGGAUGGAUGGAGCGGAGCAAAGGGCUGCGGAGGGGCCGGUGCGGAGGAUCUGGCGCGGAUCGGAACGGGCGGCACUGAGCAGCCCCCGCCCGGUGCCAGCGCACACCGAGGGUCGCAGGCGAGCGCUGACACUUCGGGCGCAUCACCCGGAGCCCUGGCCCCUGCCCCGGGCAGUGCUGCGCUGGCCUCGGGCUGCCCGCACGGCUCGGAACGGUUCCACCGCGGACAGACGGACAGCUCGCCCCAGGGCUUGCAGCAUCGGCGCCGAACGAAAAAGCCGCUUUCAAACCCGCUGCACAUUUUCACACCAUCAUUAGCAUCAGUUUAACCAGACUGCCUUGAACUGGACCAGGCUAAGUUUGUCCUCCCUAACUCUGCUUCUGUCAUGGCACAUCCAUGCUUUCCACAGAAUGGUAGUGCUAUUUUUGGUUUUCCUGUGCUGCUUUUUAUUCACUUUUAAAUAUCUUAGAAUAGCUCCGUGCAGACUAAUCUACUGCAUUUUGCUCAGACUCACAGGAGGACACAGUUUUCUCAGGCAACUGAGAUUCAGGCAGAGAAAUCACGGGACAGAUUUCUGUAAGUGCACUUUGGGACUUUACAGUGCCACUGCCUGCCCUGAGUUGCGGGUGCUGCGUCCCAGGGCCUGUGAUCCCACUCUUGCACAUGACCAUUGAGAGGCUGCAAGCACUGAGCAGCACAGCAGCGAGAAUCUUAAAACCCAAACGCCAGCCAGUCACAGGAAAGCAUCUUCCUCAGCAGGGAGAUCAGCAUCCCCUCAGCAGCCUGCCCUCAAGCCAGAGCAGAUGAGAAAAGCCAGGUACUGCUCACACACUGCUCACCUCAGCUGUGCAUCAGCAUCUUUGCAAUCAUUGAUGUCAAAGUCAAUAAAACUUUCAGCUCUGCUUUUGGGUCUUUAUCACAUAUGCAAAGCUGACACUCGGAAACAUUGUUUUGUUACCUACAGAUAAUCUCAACUAGAUACCAUACAAUGACAACAAAAGUAGCAGCAUUUUUAGGCAUUUCUCUAAGUGUAACCAUUCCUUAAAGCCUCAAGGAGACAAUGUUGACCUGCAAGGCCAAGAACAACCAAAGAUGGUGACUUUUUCCAGGACCCAGGCUCACUCAAGGUGACACAGACUUCACCAAGACACUGAAACCUUUGCAGCAAUUCAUAACCUCUGACACCAGCCACUCUUUCACUUCUGGUAUGAUUGCAGUGUAAGAGUGCUAUUUUAAAAAUUAUUUAUGAAGUCACUUACUAAAAUCACUUUUUAGCUGAAUUAAGAGAUUUAAUGCCUAGAAAUAAAACACCCCAUGAGCUUUGAAAUAUACAGUUAGGUGAAGCUGUAUUUAACAAUAUUUUGGAAUUAUACUUGAACUUUAAAUGAUAAAGUGGUAUCACUAGACAUCCUUCAGCACUUUAUAUCAAGUCAAAAAACAUCAAUUAUUCUGGUCACUAUAUGAAUGUGCAUAUUAUUCAUUAGAAAACAUAUCACUGAUGGAUAAUUUACUUUUAAAAGUAACUUUGUUUCCCUUAUUCUGAUGUUUUCUCAGUCUAUUGUGGGAAAUAGUCAUUUUUUCAGACAAGAAUAAUAUGCUAUACAGCUGUCACUCUUUAGGUAGGAAGGCAAAGAGGAAUGUGGUAUUUAUGAAGUUAAAUACAGAGCAGAAGAGAUCAGCCUUCAGAGGAACUGUAGGGACAGCCUGCCAUUCUCCAAGCCUUACACUUGUUUCUUGUUUCUGAUGUACCACUAAAGUAAAGAGACCUGCUUUGCCCUUUG